ACGCUCGACACCUACGGCAGCAGUGGGGAAUAUUGCACAAUGGGGGAAACCCUGAUGCAGCGACGCCGCGUGAAGGAAGAAGUAUCUCGGUAUGUAAACUUCUAUCAGCAGGGAAGAAAGUGACGGUACCUGACUAAGAAGCCCCGGCUAACUACGUGCCAUCAGCCGCGGUAAUCUGAGCGGGCUGGCAAGGC
rnacentral:rRNA from 1 species